rnacentral:rRNA from 1 species
GAUGAACGCUGGCGGCGUGCCUAAUACAUGCAAGUCGAGCGAACAGACGAGGAGCUUGCUCCUCUGGCGUUAGCGGCGGACGGGUGAGUAACACGUGGAUAACCUACCUAUAAGACUGGGAUAACUUCGGGAAACCGGAGCUAAUCCCGGAUAAUAUAUUGAACCGCAUGGUUCAAUAGUGAAAGACGGUUUUGCUGUCACUUAUAGAUGGAUCCGCGCCGCAUUAGCUAGUUGGUAAGGUAACGGCUUACCAAGGCAACGAUGCGUAGCCGACCUGAGAGGGGGAUCGGCCACACUGGAACGGAAACACGGUCCAGACUCCUACGGGAGGCAGCAGUAGGGAAUCGGCCGCAAUGGGCGGAAGCCUGACGGAACGACGCCGCGUGAGUGAUGAAGGUCUUCGGAUCGUAAAGCUCUGUUAUGAGGGAAGAACAAAUGUGUAAGUAACUAUGCACGUCUUGACGGUACCUAAUCAGAAAGCCACGGCUAACUACGUG